AGCAACAUUUCAGGGAACUGGAGCCCUCUUCUCAUUUGGCAGAUGUUUCGGCAAAUUAUUUUUCUGCUGCAUAUCUGGAGAAAAGUGGCCAUAGCGAAAUCCUGCAACUUCAAUGUUCAUUUCUGCAGUGUCCCAAGAGUUAAGAAACAUUUUACUCCAGCACAAGAGGAGCCAAGAUGGCAGAACAGCAUGGAAGUUUUCUGUGUGUCUCGAAUCCAUGAAAUACAGCCAGGCCAACACUAAACCAUCCUGCACACCUAGAAAACUGAUUGGAGGAUUAACACAAACAAUCUGCACAAC